rnacentral:lncRNA from 1 species
AAGAGCUGCAUAAACAAAUCAAAACACUCAUGCUUCAAUUCAUUUAUUUGGCUGACAAAUUUUUAAAGGACGCAGACCAUUGACAGUAGCGGCAGUUUAACACGUUCUCUAGAGUAACACCAUAAAUUAACACAAUUUUAUUUUUGUUUGAAACAAACGCCAGAAAGUUUGUGUCGAAUCAGGAUGCUUUUUCUCUACUUCGAAAUUUCAUUGACGUGUGAUUUCACCUGCUAAUGUGUUUGUGCUUUGGGGGAACUAAGAGGUUGCUUUCACCUGCUAAUGUGUUUGUGCUGUGGGGGAACUAAGAGCUCUCUUCAAGCGACACAAAUUCCAAUAUAUUAAAAGCUAGUUAGAUUUUGAAGCUACUCGACAAGCAAAAGGUUUUGAACGUACAUAUGGAUAUUUAAGAGAGCUUUUGAGGGGAAGCAAAAAUCAAAGAAUCACUGUAAAGUAUAUAUGGCUUCAUAGUGUUACUUUUUCUUUGUGCAGUCACAAAGUUCGAGCAAGUCUAGACAUCUUUUGUAUACUCUAUACCUGUAGAAGAAAGGAAAACUUGUUCCUCUUUGAAGUAGAGGGAAAUAGAGAAUUCUAUCGAAGAGACUAAUGGAGUCCAUGUGCCAAACAAUGAACACUAAACAGGUUGCAGGAAUUCUUCUAAAGCACGUCAGAGGAACCUUGUUUGAAGGUAAUCUGCCCCGAAAAAAUUGGGAGUUCAUCUGCAUGAGAGAUGUUCCAAAAUCAACAUGCUGCCGCUGUAAA